GCGGAGGAAAAGAAACUAACAAGGAUUCCCCUAGUAACGGCGAGUGAACCGGGAAGAGCUCAAAUUUGAAAUCUGGCGUCCUCAGGGCGUCCGAGUUGUAAUCUAUAGAGGCGUUUUCCGUGCCGGACCGUGUCCAAGUUCCUUGGAACAGGAUAUCAAAGAGGGUGACAAUCCCGUACUUGACACGACGACCGGUGCUCUGUGAUACGUCUUCUACGAGUCGAGUUGUUUGGGAAUGCAGCUCAAAAUGGGUGGUGAGUUCCAUCUAAAGCUAAAUAUUGGCGAGAGACCGAUAGCGAACAAGUACCGUGAGGGAAAGAUGAAAAGCACUUUGGAAAGAGAGUUAAACAGUACGUGAAAUUGUUGAAAGGGAAACGAUUGAAGUCAGUCGUGACCGAGAGGCUCAGCCGGUUCUGCCGGUGUAUUCCCCUCGGUCGGGUCAACAUCAGUUUUGUCCGGUGGAUAAGGGCGGUAGGAAGGUGGCACCCUCGGGUGUGUUAUAGCCUGCCGUCGCAUACAUCGGGUGAGACUGAGGAACGCAGCUCGCCUUUAUGGCCGGGGUUCGCCCACGUCCGAGCUUAGGAUGUUGACAUAAUGGCUUUAAACGACCCGUCUU
rnacentral:rRNA from 1 species